UAUAGUCUUUUGCCGCAAUACUACUCCACGACUCUAGUCUCCUCUGUUUGUGGGUGUAGGGUGCAGCAGACUGGCCUUUGUCUCUUCGGGUUCUCCCUUCUCCCAACACAAAGUUGCAGACCCAUUAUUCAUCGCAAACCAAUCUCUCUCCCUCUCGCUUUGAAGCUUCUUCUUCGUUCUCUUCCCGAAGAUCCUCCGAUUCGUUUUCCGUUUCCGUCUUCAGAAAAAUUGCAAGAUCUGCUGGAGUAACGUGAUAACAGAGCACAGCCAAGCCAUUUUGAACUCUUUGUACUCAUUUUUACUGGGACUUGACUAGAGAUUGGGAGUUGAGUUGGAUGGAUAUGCGGCUAGGAGCAUGAAGAUUAAUUAUGUAGUCGGCUCCUACCUUGAUCCCCUUACCGUUAAGGUAUACCAAUCGGACACAUGUUCAAGGACAGUCACCAUAUGCCUCUGGUUCUCCAUCAAAAGCCGUCUGCAUUUCUGAUAUUAAUUAGUUAUAGAUAUUAUUUCUAGUUGAAGACUUAUGAAGCAUAUUAUGAAAGUGCUUCAUUUGUUCAUGUUAGUUGGAUUUGAAAAAAGAGUUGAUGUUAGGGCUCUGUUUAUUACUAUAUUAUCCAUAAUAAAUUCAAAUUUUUUUGUAAAAGAAAAAUUCUAUUUAUAUAAUUGGCGACAACCCUUAGAUU